rnacentral:rRNA from 1 species
AUUAGUGGCGACGGGUGAGUAACACGUGGGCAAUCUGCCCUUCACUCUGGGACAAGCCCUGGAAACGGGGUCUAAUACCGGAUAACACUCUGUCCCGCAUGGGACGGGGUUAAAAGCUCCGGCGGUGAAGGAUGAGCCCGCGGCCUAUCAGCUUGUUGGUGGGGUAAUGGCCUACCAAGGCGACGACGGGUAGCCGGCCUGAGAGGGCGACCGGCCACACUGGGACUGAGACACGGCCCAGACUCCUACGGGAGGCAGCAGUGGGGAAUAUUGCACAAUGGGCGAAAGCCUGAUGCAGCGACGCCGCGUGAGGGAUGACGGCCUUCGGGUUGUAAACCUCUUUCAGCAGGGAAGAAGCGAAAGUGACGGUACCUGCAGAAGAAGCGCCGGCUAACUACGUGCCAGCAGCCGCGGUAAUACGUAGGGCGCAAGCGUUGUCCGGAAUUAUUGGGCGUAAAGAGCUCGUAGGCGGCUUGUCACGUCGGAUGUGAAAGCCCGGGGCUUAACCCCGGGUCUGCAUUCGAUACGGGCUAGCUAGAGUGUGGUAGGGGAGAUCGGAAUUCCUGGUGUAGCGGUGAAAUGCGCAGAUAUCAGGAGGAACACCGGUGGCGAAGGCGGAUCUCUGGGCCAUUACUGACGCUGAGGAGCGAAAGCGUGGGGAGCGAACAGGAUUAGAUACCCUGGUAGUCCACGCCGUAAACGUUGGGAACUAGGUGUUGGCGACAUUCCACGUCGUCGGUGCCGCAGCUAACGCAUUAAGUUCCCCGCCUGGGGGAGUACGGCGCAGCUAAACUCAAGGAUUGACGGGGGCCGCACAGCAGCGGAGCAUGUG